rnacentral:lncRNA from 1 species
CCUGCCAAAGCAUUAGGAACACACUGGGGGUUACUGAUUCAAAACACAUUAGCAGGAACAUCACCUUGUCUUUGAAGUAACUGAGAAUCGCCAUGGGACUUUCUCAUACCCUUUCAGUUCUCCAAGGAAAUUUUAUGUCUCAGCAUACCCAGUGGGAAAGGAAAUAAUUGCUCUGCAUCUCUCCUUGUGUGUCAUGAAGCAUGUUGGCUUUAUUUCAGAUUAUCCAGACCUUUUGCCACCACCACCCUGCUGUGUAUGCCUCAGGCAGUCUGGGACAGGUAUAAAAGAACUGAGCACUUUGCAGUCCUCUAUCCAGCUUCCUCCACUUGACUCCCUUCAGCUCCUGGUAAGUGCAGCUCUCGGAGGCUUCUCAGGGCUCUCUCCUGUGUGCUCCUGCCUGCGGUGUGGCCGGGACCGUGUGCAGGUGCGAGGUGUCCAAGCUCCAGUGUCCAGCGGUGCUGAAGGGAAGCUGUUCCAUACAGCAUCUGGUGGGGAUGUGCUGGGGCUUCUCCAGAGCUCUCCUUUGACCAUGGACAGAGGCAGUGGUGUGCUUAGCAUGGCCCGCAGCUGCCACUGAGGUACCCAAGACCUCGGCGCAAGCCACCGUAUCCACAGCUGCCAAAGCCCCCAAAGCCCCCAAGGCCAUAAGAGCCUCCAUAGCCUCCCAGGCCUCCAUAGCCCCCAAAGCCGGCACUACGUCCAAAGCUGCCACCCAAGCCUGCUCCAACAGCAGGGACUCCUGCUGAGCCAACUGCAGCGUUCUGUGGGAAGGAGCUGAGGAUGGGCCCGGGGAAGGUGACCACGGUGGCCGGGGGUUGGAUCACCACGGUGGAGUCGGGGCACUGGCGCACGCAGGGCUCGUUGCAGCUGUCAGCCAGCGGGGCCGGGGCGGCCACACCGCAGGCAGAAGCACACAGGCUGGCGCAGGACAUCUUCCACACCAGCCAGGAGUCCUGCAAAGGGCGCCCACAGUGAGGAUAGGGAAGGGGAGAGCGGUACGUAUGGAGGCUGGGAGAGAGCCCUGAGAAGCCUCCGAGAGCUGCACUUACCAGGAGCUGAAGGGAGUGAAGUGGAGGAAGCUGGAUAGAGGGCUGCAAAGUGCUCAGUUCUUUUAUACCUAUCCCGGACAGCCCGGGGCAUACACGGGAGGGUGG